rnacentral:tRNA from 1 species
CAGCGCCGUCCCGGGAGGGCCGGUCGUCGUCGGUGUCGAUGGCACGGCCGGCUCCGAGGCGGCCCUGCGGUUCGGUUUCGCGGAGGCUGACC